GUAGGCAUAGUUUAACCAAAACGCCAGAUUGUGAUUCUGGAAAUAGUGGUUAAACCCCUCUUGUCCACC
rnacentral:tRNA from 1 species